AGAGUCUUUUCCACUCCUGAAGAUGGAGCCCAAAUAGCCUCACAUAUGUCAAGAGACUGUUGAAAAGCAAGUGAAUCCUGUCUGUGUGAUGAGUGCAUCCAUCUGAGCUGUAGUGUUGCUGUGACUUAAGAUUCUGUUUGUUUGUUUUCAAGGUAGAGUCUCACUCUAGCCUAGAAUGAUCUGGAACUUACUCUGGAGUUCCAGACUGGCCUUGAACUCAUGGUGAGCCGCCUACCACUUCCUCCUGAGCUCUAGGAUUAAAGUGGCUGUUUUUUAUCCAUAGGGAAUAUGUUCCAGGCUCCAGUGGGUUCCUGAAAUCCAGAGAAUGCCUGUUGAUCUCCACUCCAGCACUUCAGGCUGAGGCUCAAGGACUGUUUGAUGUUUUCUCAGCCUCUUUAUAGCCUCACCCUUAACCUCAGCCUCUCCUUUCACUGACCUACUUAUCGUUCUGCAUGUUCCUGGCCGAUGGUCUUUGUGCAGUUCUUUGUCCCUGGAAUGUCCCUCCCGUCUCUCCAUAGGAAAGCCUGCCCUUUCUAUGAAGUCCUCCAAGUUUCCUGCUGACGUAUUAUGUAAUCUCCUCAUGUGUUCUCCUGUUGCACAAUGUACCUCACAUUCCCAGCGAACUA